rnacentral:rRNA from 1 species
GGAUGCAAUGGGCGCAAGCCUGAUGCAGCCAUGCCGCGUGUAUGAAGAAGGCCUUCGGGUUGUAAAGUACUUUCAGCGGGGAGGAAGGGAGUAAAGUUAAUACCUUUGCUCAUUGACGUUACCCGCAGAAGAAGCACCGGCUAACUCCGUGCCAGCAGCCGCGGUAAU